UACGGGGGGGGCAAGCGUUGUUCGGAAUUACUGGGCGUAAAGCGCACGUAGGCGGCUUUGUAAGUUAGAGGUGAAAGCCCAGGGCUCAACCCUGGAAUUGCCUUUAAGACUGCAUCGCUUGAAUCAUGGAGAGGUGAGUGGAAUUCCGAGUGUAGAGGUGAAAUUCGUAGAUAUUCGGAAGAACACCAGUGGCGAAGGCGACUCACUGGACAUGUAUUGACGCUGAGGUGCGAAAGCGUGGGGAGCAAACAGG
rnacentral:rRNA from 1 species